CAAUAGCGUAUAUUAAAGUUGUUGCGGUUAAAAAGCUCGUAGUUGGAUUUCUGUUGAUAACGGCCGGUCCGCACUAUGUGCGUGUAUCAGGUUCGGUGUCGGCAUCCUCGUGGGGAUCGUUUCUGUGCUUGAUUGCAUGGGGCGGAAUUCACGACUUUUACUUUGAGGAAAUUAGAGUGUUCACGGCAAGCUAUCGCUUUGAAUACAUUAGCAUGGAAUAAUAAGAUAAGACUUGGGUCAUUAUUUUGUUGGUUUGCGGAUCGAGGUAAUGAUUAAUAGGGAUAGUUGGGGGUAUUCAUAUUUAAUUGUCAGAGGUGAAAUUCUUGGAUUUAUGAAAGAUGAACUUAGGCGAAAGCAUUUACCAAGGAUGUUUUCAUUAAUCAAGAACGAAAGUUAGGGGAUCGAAGACGAUUAGAUACCAU
rnacentral:rRNA from 1 species